AUGAAGAAGAAGGAGACGGCGCUCCUUCACGACCUUUUAUACAUAACCACCCCCUAAAUUCCUAAUCACAAUCCUAAUCAAACAGACUCCUAAUACAACUUAACUCAGACCCUAAACAAGCUUAAUUGGAAAUUAACUUGAUUAAACAAGGACUCAGUUAGACUCAACCUUAACCAGAAAUUAAAAAAAACAAAUCACCUAAUCAAAGCUCCAUGCUGGGUUUCAUAAUGGUCCUGCAUCAGUCCCCUCCACUUGAACACAACUCGUCCUCGAGUUCGUAUCAGGAUAUAACUGCUCUUCAGGAUUAUGGUAUUCAUAGAUAUCGGCGACAUUAAAAGUCUUU
rnacentral:lncRNA from 1 species